GAGCCUCUGAACAUCCAAAUGGGUCAUAUCUGAUGACCAUGAAAAGAUGACAGUCUGUAUUUUACACCAGUCAUUUACCUGUACUGAUAGGCUUCAUGGUUCAGAAGUUAUUAAAUACUUUAUAUCAGUAGAUGGUUUUGGUUGCCAGUUGCAGUUUGGGUCUUUAUGGGUUAAACAUUUUAGAUCACAGUAGAUGCUUUUGGGUCUUUAAGAAAAAGUGAAGAAGCAAAUGUAACAUCACCUGGUGCUAACAAACAAUCACAAGAUGCUGCAGCUCAAAUGACUGGUGUUAAAAUGCUGAUCUAAUGGACUGAGAUGUAACUGUUCAAUGGCCUUAACUGGCCCAUUAAACUCAUUAGGUAGAGAAUAUCCAUGUUUAGAAAGAGCAGAUCCAACCAUGUGUGACCCCAAAAUCCAUACUGUUCACCUAUCGUAGCAUAUAAACUGUGUGUAGUUUGUGUCAACAUGUGUCUUACCUUUUAUCCACAAAGCUCGCACUGUAAAAAAUGGCCAAAAAAGGUGUUUUUAAUCCAGUUUCCUGCUUACAAAAAUAAGCAAGUGACAUAAAGUUGUCACAAAAAAAUAUCACUGAAGGCCAAUAUAUUCCACAACACAGCUGUAAAACUGUCACUCAGUUCUGCCCCCACUGCCAGUAACUCCACUUGUACGUAUUCAUAUUAUUAAGUGUAGGAUAAUAAAAGCUGUAUUAUGUGACGUGCAGCGCUGACUUGCAAAUUCAGAUGUUUUCUGAUUGGCUGGCAUGACUCAAAGUGAUCCCAGCAAUAUUAUUCUCCACUGUCAUUGUUGUUAUUGUAGACAUGAUGUGGACUAGUUCCUAUUCUUGGUGUGGAUUGGCCUUAUAGUGGUGUUUCACUUGUUGUUUGAGAAGGAAUCCCAGCUGCAAUGAUAAGCACUCAAUAAUUUGCCAAAAAAAGAUUGAACUGAAUAAUAUUUUAUUGCGUCUGGUAACAAAAAAAUAGUGUUAGAUCCACCAUUUAGGUCAGUGUUUAGUAACUGUUCAGUGACCAAUUACAAAUCAGUGUCCAACUGACCCUUGUAAUAAGUUACAUGAGCUCUAGGUAAUCCAAUAGGUAAUCCAAGUGAGUCUGGUUCCUGUAUUUGAGAUAGGAUGAUAAGAAUUCUGCGCCUUAUUCACACUGUUUUGCUGUAUGAUUCCCCAGAUAUCCUCAGUUGAAUCUCAAAUACACAAAAUUCCUAACAAAUAAAACACAUUACAGUUUGUUUUCAGGCCUUGACCCUGAUGUUCUAGUUCCAGGUGAGAGGAAAAGAGAUUUUUUUGUCUGCACAGAGGGUUAAAGGUCAUAGAGAUGCUGCUGUACAAAGAACGACAUGCCGACUGGUUGCGGUGCUUUUCUUGGCUUUGUUUCUCCUAUUACACUGAGAGGAAUGGCUUCUGUUUGUUGCUUAGUAUAUCUUGCCAAAGUAUUGAAAGUGUUAUAUUUUAUACUUCUUUGAAUAUUUUCUUUGUGCCAGUAAUGUACUAACUUUGCUUAUGUAAGCUAUGCUUUUGGAAAGGGUCUUUCUUUAGAUUUGCACAUGAAACUUAGCACAGCAAGGAAUCACAAGUGAAACCAUUUCUGAACAUUUCAAUCAAAACUGGAGAACAGUGGGUCUUUCUAACCUGCAUGAACAAGCACAGUGCAGAAUUACACUGAAACUACCAAAGGACGCUGCUUUCAUGGACAGUAAGAGGAGCCAGUCGUGUUAACAGAUCCCAAAGUGUUUGUUUUCUUUAUGAAGGCCAUGUGCAAUGGAAAACACAAUGUGUGCUAUACGGAACACUCUUCUGUCUUUUACAGGCUUUCCUUUUCUUCUAACUCGUUUACAGGGAAAGAAUAUUGCUGUUGUUUACAGAUCAGACUCUACCUGUACUGUAAAGUUGUGUGGUGAAAAUCUGUACUGCUAUAAUCCAAUCUGUGUACUGUAGAUGUAAGACAGUAUUCCAUGGUGAAAACCUGAAAUAAAUCAGAGGAAAGCACUGUA